AUUGAACGCUGGCGGAAUGCUUUACACAUGCAAGUCGAACGGUAGAGGGGGCAACCCCUCGAGAGUGGCGAACGGGUGAGUAAUAUAUCGGAACGUGCCCAGUCGUGGGGGAUAACGUAGCGAAAGCUACGCUAAUACCGCAUACGAUCUAAGGAUGAAAGCGGGGGAUAGCAGCACCUCGCGCGGUUGGAGCGGCCGAUAUCAGGUUAGGUAGUUGGUGGGGUAAAGGCUAACCAAGGCAACGAUCCGUAGCUGGUCUGAGAGGACGACCAGCCACGCUGGAAGUGAGACGCGGUCCAGACUCCUAAGGGAGGCAGAAAUGGGGAAUUUUGGACAAUGGACGCAAGUCUGAUCCAGCCACUCCGCGUGCAGGAUGAGGGCCAUCGGGUUGUAAUCUGCUUUUGUACGGAACGAAAAGGUCUCUCUUAAUACGGGGGACUCAUGACGUUACCGUAAGAAUAAGCACCGGCUAACUACGUGCCAGCCGCCGCAGUAA
rnacentral:rRNA from 1 species